GCCGGGCGUGGUGGUGCGCGCCUGUAGUCCCAGCUACUCGGAGGCUGAGGCAGGAGAAUGGCGUGAACCCAGGAGGCGGAGCUUGCAGUGAGCCGAGAUAGUGCCACUGCACUCCAGCCUGGGUGACAAAGUGAGACUCUGUCUCAA
rnacentral:SRP_RNA from 1 species